ensembl:lncRNA
CCUGUCACUGGGCAAGAUUGAGGGAGUCUAUCUCUGUCUUCUUUGUACCUUCUCUUCAGAUAUUUGUGCACAUUGAUGAUGAUAAACAGGAUUAGACCCUGUAUUCAUAGAAUCAUAGAAUCAACUAUAGAAUCAUAGAAUCACAGAAUCGCUAAGGUUGGAAAAGACCCACAGGAUCAUCCAGUCCAACCAUUCGCCCUUCAUCAAUGGUUCUCGCUAAACCAUGUCCCUCAACACAACAUCCAAACGCUCUUUGAACACCACCAGGCUCGGUGACUCCACCACCUGUCUGGGCAGCCCAUUCCAGUGCCUGACCACCCUUUCAGAGAAGUAGUAUUUCCUAACGUCCAGCCUGAACCUUCCCUGGUGCAGCUUGACGCCAUUCCCUCUAGUCCUAUCACUAGUCACACGAGAGAAGAUGCUGACCCCCAGCUCACUACAACCUCCCUUCAGGUAGUUAUAGAGAGCAAUAAGGUCUCCCCUGAGCCUCCUCUUCUCUAGACUGAACAAUCCCAUCUCCUUCAGACACUCCUCAUAAGGCCUGUGCUCCAGACCCCUCACCAGCUUUGUUGCCCUCCUCUGGAUACGCUCCAGGGCCUCAAUGUCUUUCUUACAGCGAGGGGCCCAAAACUGGACACAGUACUCGAGGUGCAGCCUCUCCAGUGCUGAGUACAGGGGGACAAUUACUUCCCUGUUCCUGCUGUCCACACUGUUUCUGAUGCAAGCCAGGAUGCCAUUGGCCUUCUUGGCCACCUGGGCACACUGCUGGCUCAUGUUCAGUCGAGCAUCAGUCAACACCCCCAGGCCCACUUCCUCUACACAGUCUUCCAGCCACUCUGCCCCAAGCCUGUAGCGUUGCCUGGGGUUGUUGUGGCCAAAGCGCAGGACCUGGCA